CCUACGGGAGGCAGCAGUGGGGAAUUUUGGACAAUGGGCGCAAGCCUGAUCCAGCAAUGCCGCGUGAGUGAAGAAGGCCUUCGGGUUGUAAAGCUCUUUUGUCAGGGAAGAAACGGCUGAGGUUAAUACCUUCGGCUAAUGACGGUACCUGAAGAAUAAGCACCGGCUAACUACGUGCCAGCAGCCGCGGUAAUACGUAGGGUGCAAGCGUUAAUCGGAAUUACUGGGCGUAAAGCGUGCGCAGGCGGUUUUGUAAGUCUGACGUGAAAUCCCCGGGCUCAACCUGGGAAUUGCGUUGGAGACUGCAAGGCUGGAGUCUGGCAGAGGGGGGUAGAAUUCCACGUGUAGCAGUGAAAUGCGUAGAGAUGUGGAGGAACACCGAUGGCGAAGGCAGCCCCCUGGGUCAAGACUGACGCUCAUGCACGAAAGCGUGGGGAGCAAACAGGAUUAGAUACCCUGGUAGUCCACGCCCUAAACGAUGUCCACUAGUUGUCGGGUCUUAAUUGACUUGGUAACGCAGCUAACGCGUGAAGUAGACCGCCUGGGGAGUACGGUCGCAAGNUUAAAACUCAAAGGAAUUGACGG
rnacentral:rRNA from 1 species